GUGGGGAAUAUUGGACAAUGGGCGCAAGCCUGAUCCAGCAAUGCCGCGUGGGUGAAGAAGGUCUUCGGAUCGUAAAGCCCUUUCGACAGGGACGAUGAUGACGGUACCUGUAGAAGAAGCCCCGGCUAACUUCGUGCCAGCAGCCGCGGUAAUACGAAGGGGGCUAGCGUUACUCGGAAUUACUGGGCGUAAAGUGCGCGUAGGCGGCUCUGUUAGUCAGGCGUGAAAUUCCUGGGCUUAACCUGGGGACUGCGCUUGAUAGUGCAGGGCUUGAGGCCGAGAGAGGGUGGUGGAAUUCCCAGUGUAGAGGUGAAAUUCGUAGAUAUUGGGAAGAACACCGGUGGCGAAGGCGACCACCUGGCUCGGUUCUGACGCUGAGGCGCGACAGCGUGGGGAGCAAACAGGAUUAGAAACCCGAGUAGUCC
rnacentral:rRNA from 1 species